CAGGCGUAGGAAAUUUGAGAAGACCUGUCCUUAGUACGAGAGGACCGGGAUGGACGUACCUCUGGUGUACCAGUUGUCCUGCCAAGGGCAUGGCUGGGUAGCUAUGUACGGAAUGGAUAAGCGCUGAAAGCAUCUAAGCGCGAAGCCAACUUCAAGAUAAGAUUUCCCACCGCAAGGGUAAGACUCCAGAAAGACUAUCUGGUUGAUAGGUCGAAGGUGUAAGUGCAGCAAUGUAUUUAGCUUAUCGAUACUAAUAGGUCGAGGACUUGACCAAU
rnacentral:rRNA from 1 species